rnacentral:tRNA from 1 species
GGGGCGCUCGUCCAACGGGAAGACGUCUGUGUUGCAAGCAGAAGAUCAGGGUUCGAUUCCCUGGUGCUCCAC